rnacentral:sRNA from 1 species
UUGAAACAUCGUCCAUCUUUUACAGUUAGCGUAGGCUCUCCAUGAGCCAUUCCCCUAGGCCCAAAUCAGGAUCAGUUUUGGGCCUCUUUUU